rnacentral:rRNA from 1 species
GUGCCAGCAGCCGCGGUAAUACCGGCAGCACGAGUGAUGGCCGAUUUUAUUGGGCCUAAAGCGUCCGUAGCUUGCUGUGUAAGUCCAUUGGGAAAUCCACGCGCUCAACGCGUGGGCGUCCAGCGGAAACUGCCUGGCUUGGGGCCGGAGGACUCGAGGGGUACGUCCGGGGUAGGAGUGAAAUCCCGUAAUCCUGGACGGACCACCGGUGGCGAAAGCGCCUCGAGAGGACGGACCCGACAGUGAGGGACGAAAGCCAGGGUCUCGAACCGGAUUAGAUACCCUGGUAGUCC